AGAAAGAAACCAGCUUGGCGAAGUUUCUGCCUUUGUGACUGUCUCCUAAUGCAGAAACCAAGGCACCUCAGAAGAUCAAGGCUUCUAAAUUCUCCUGGGGGAACAGACGUCAGCCACCCGGCACAAAGGAAACUUCCUUUUCUGUGUCAGAGGAAGACAUAAUUGUGCCAUUUGCUUCUUGAAGAAGUUUACAAACAUUUGCAAGUUGUCAAAAAUAAUUAGUCUAAAAUUGUUUCAUAAACCAUGGAAUGAAACAGUACGUGCCUUGUUGAGAUCAAAGGGCUUCUGUUACCUUCUUGUAAAUCCAAAUGAAAUUCUUUUGAAAGUAAACUCUUGGAAUUAGCA